UACGAAGGGUGCAAGCGUUACUCGGAAUCACUGGGCGUAAAGCGUGCGUAGGCGGUUCGUUAAGUCUGCUGUGAAAGCCCUGGGCUCAACCUGGGAACUGCAGUGGAUACUGGCGGACUAGAGUGUGAUAGAGGAAGUGGAAUUCCCGGUGUAGUAGGUGAAAUGCGUAGAUAUCGGGAGGAACACCAGUGGCGAAGGCGGCCUCUGGC
rnacentral:rRNA from 1 species